AUGAGGAAAGGAGCAGGAGAGCCUCCCCUCCUAAACAGCCCAGGAGAAGAGGCUUUACAGUUGAAUUCUCCCUCUGCAAUGAUAAUAACACAAGAGCCUGUCCUGCUUCCAGGAAUUGUCGUACUGCACCAGCAAAUCAGCAUUUCUUCAAUUGUAGCAUCUUUCCUGGAAAUAGUGUUACAUGACAUGCCCUCGCUGCCUGUCUCGGUGUGAAUGAGAAUACAGCAAAGCUCAUGUUUUCCAUUGUUGAAAUACGAGCAUAAAUCUUUCACUAAUGCACUGCUGUCUUUUAUUAUAACAGUCACUGCAGCAGAGAAAGGUACGUCAAAUCUCUCCUUGUUGGUACAGUCAGUUGUUGGCAUUGCCCUGACACGUUGUUUCUUUCCUUAAAAUGGCUUUGUAAAGGGACUGAAAUGAGUUGCUCAGCCUUUGGCAGCACCUUUGUGUGUUUUGACAAAUCUGAGCCUUCAAUGUUGUAGGUAUGAAGGUUCAAAACAGUGGGGAGAGAGAGCUGGAAUGAAAGGUUUUGACAAAAGCCAGGCCCAAGUCAGAAAUGACGGUUCUGGAUCUCUUUAUCAGGGCAGAUCCUGCUCUGAUACCUGCAUGAGGUGAGGGAUGAGGGCAGGGCCUGGCAAGGGAUAACCCUUUGGUGGUGGGAUGGCUGGGAUCAUCCAUCCCAUGCCUUCAGGUGUUUGUCCACAUCCUCUGCCUCACCUGCUGACCUGGAGAGCCACGUCCUCCCUGGCAGGAACCUCACUCCAGCCUGAGGAUGCCAAUUUGCAGGACCUGAGGGUAACAGCUAACUCCAAAUCAGCUGUUCUCUGCGAGGGACAGAUUUGGGCUGACCCAUGAGGGUGUGAGGUCCUCCCCAAAAGGCUGCAAAGCGUUUGGCAGAGAUGUGAGGAAGCAGAAAGUGUUUGGAAAAGCUCCUUGCCAUUUUUUAGGUUUUUUUCCUUGACGCUGCACAAGAUAUUUUACAGCCUUUGUGAGUCUGUAGAGAGGCUGGUUUCUGGCAUGGGGUGUGCUGGAGCCUCAGGAGUGCAGCUGGUCUUUAAAACCAGCUUUAUAGGAAAGAAAUUUUCUGGUCCCGCUGGAAGGAGGUAUGGUCUUGUGACACUUAGUGGAAAUAGAGCAGGUAUAGUUUGGUCAAAUGGGGAGUAUUUCCAAGGAAACAUAAGUUUUUUUACAGUGUCCCAAAGCUGAGGCAAGUCCAAAAUUUUCAGUUCAAUUGUCCUGCUUUCCCAGGCUAAUUUUAUAAGGAGGCCCUAAAAUGUGAAUGAGGAGUGAUCUUGUUCAGCCUGAAAAAUAAAAUUAACGCCAGUAUGAGAAGGGCUGAAUCC
rnacentral:lncRNA from 1 species